rnacentral:rRNA from 1 species
UUAAAAAUAUAGUUAAAAACUGAGGUAUACCCUCUUUCCUCUAUAUUCACUGAAUAUCUGAGUUCUGAAGGCGGUUGUUUGAAUUCUUGAAGAAAGGGUGAAAUUGUUGAUAUUGGAAGACAUUCAAUAGCGAAAGCAUUAACCGAUUUGGAUCUGACACUAGGUACUAAAGUAUGGGGAUAAAUAGGAUUAGAGACCUAGUAGUCCAUACCUUAAACAAUGAGUGUUCAACGUCUUUUGGCAAGGCCAUAGUUAAUAUAAGCUAUCAAUUAGCAGUACGUGCAAGGCAAGAUAUGUUUAUAUAAUUUAAAUAACUAUGCGCAUGUCAUAGGGGGUUUAAAGCUAACGCGUGAAACACCGCCUGGGGAAUGUGGCCGCAAGGUUAAACUCAAAGGAAUUGACGGAGACUUAUACAAGG